UCGUAAUACAAUCAUGGUUAAAGUAGGCUAUACCCAGACCAUUUUUUUACAUCUCAUCUGAUUUUUUAAAAACAAAUUUUAAUGUGAAAGACGAAAAAAAUAAGGGUGCCGACACAGCACACCACCUGUGAGAGGCAGCACGGUGCCACAGGGCAACCAGACAGCUGUAAAAUACAAAGAAGAAAGAGUCAUAGUGAACAAGAAAGAGAAGACGACAGGCUUAGUAUUCGCUCACCUGGUAACUGAAAUACGUACAAAGCGGUUGCAAUUACUUCCCUCUGCCCUUUCUGUUGUGGUGAGUGCCCGUGGGACAUUUAAACCGAACCCGUUUCUCCUCUAUUUGUGUAUCACAACAGUGUCAGCUUCGGAAAUUCGAACGAGGAGACGAGUAGUAUAACAGGAGAGAAGCGAGACGGGCAGAUGGACAAUUGAAAUGAGACGAUCAUGCUCUUCGUUCCUUCCUGACUGUCACCAUUUUUCCAUGCUCCCCCACACCCCCUACAAGUGGCCGUGAUUGACAGGUGUGCUAGAUCCAUGCAAUAUCACCAGGCACACGUUCCUAUUCCCUCCUGGAGGCUUCAUCCGCUGGUCAAAUUAACCUUCUGUGCGAAGGGGGUGGGUGAGCAACACUGAGGGGGGAGGGCCUGCGUGGGCCAAUCAGCAGGUGAUUAGGCCAGGGGCGGGCGGGGUGAGGGGUCACUGCAAUGGGGCCAUCGCAAGCCUGAUUGGUUUCAAUCAGCUGCAGGUCUAGGAGGACAGCUGGUAAGCUGAGCCUCACCACACACUAAUCAACGUGUCCCACAGCGAGGCAUGAACACUCACACACUCACGUGCACACACACACAUACAGCCAAAACAUGAACAUCAGUGUGAGUACACAUUGACACGGGACAAGGAAGACACAAAUACACAGCAGGCAGAAAUGAACAGUCCGGGUGGAAGCCUAUAAACUUCACAUUAUGGGAAUCUGGAGGGGGAAACACCGCAGCGCUGCACAAUGUUACAGUAAAUUGAAUGACUAAUUGCAUUGGCUUCAUUAAUUUGGCCAUCUGAUCUGCGCCCGUGACAUUGCUUUGCGAUGCUUCGUCCCACACAAAUUACAACACAUCUCCCAAAUGGCUCCAAGGUGGAACCAGCCACAUUGUGCCGUGUCGGACGCCGUGUAAUCCUUGCUCAAAUCUUGCUCGAGCCUGGGUGCAAAUGACUCAAGUAUUUUAUUUUGGCUCCUUGUGGCUUUCUUUGCGUCUGAGUCGAUGUUACGGAAUGGCAGCGUUCACGUGGUGGAUUGUGUUUUUAAAAUAGACGCCAUCAUGUCACUCAUCUGAAUCUGAAAAUAAAUGUUUCCCGCAAAUGUACAAA